rnacentral:rRNA from 1 species
GUGGGGAAUAUUGGGCAAUGGGGGAAACCCUGACCCAGCGACGCCGCGUGAGGGAAGAAGGCCUUAGGGUCGUAAACCUCUGUUGUGUGGGAAGAAGAGCGUGACGGUACCACACGAGGAAGUCCCGGCUAACUACGUGCCAGCAGCCGCGGUAAUACGUAGGGGACGAGCGUUGUCCGGAAUUACUGGGCGUAAAGGGCGCGUAGGCGGUCAUUUAAGUCAGCUGUGAAAUGGUCCGGCUCAACCGGAUCAUGCGGUUGAAACUGGAUGACUGGAGUGCUGGAGAGGCAAGUGGAAUUCCCAGUGUAGCGGUGAAAUGCGUAGAUAUUGGGAAGAACACCGGUGGCGAAGGCGACUUGCUGGCCAGCAACUGACGCUGAGGCGCGAAAGCCAGGGGAGCAAACGGGAUUAGAUACCCGGGUAGUCC